CAGCUUGCUGCUUUGCUGACGAGUGGCGGACGGGUGAGUAAUGUCUGGGAAACUGCCUGAUGGAGGGGGAUAACUACUGGAAACGGUGGCUAAUACCGCAUAACGUCGCAAGACCAAAGAGGGGGACCUUCGGGCCUCUUGCCAUCAGAUGUGCCCAGAUGGGAUUAGCUUGUUGGUGAGGUAACGGCUCACCAAGGCGACGAUCCCUAGCUGGUCUGAGAGGAUGACCAGCCACACUGGAACUGAGACACGGUCCAGACUCCUACGGGAGGCAGCAGUGGGGAAUAUUGCACAAUGGGCGCAAGCCUGAUGCAGCCAUGCCGCGUGUAUGAAGAAGGCCUUCGGGUUGUAAAGUACUUUCAGCGGGGAGGAAGGUGUUGUGGUUAAUAACCGCAGCAAUUGACGUUACCCGCAGAAGAAGCACCGGCUAACUCCGUGCCAGCAGCCGCGGUAAUACGGAGGGUGCAAGCGUUAAUCGGAAUUACUGGGCGUAAAGCGCACGCAGGCGGUCUGUCAAGUCGGAUGUGAAAUCCCCGGGCUCAACCUGGGAACUGCAUUCGAAACUGGCAGGCUUGAGUCUUGUAGAGGGGGGUAGAAUUCCAGGUGUAGCGGUGAAAUGCGUAGAGAUCUGGAGGAAUACCGGUGGCGAAGGCGGCCCCCUGGACAAAGACUGACGCUCAGGUGCGAAAGCGUGGGGAGCAAACAGGAUUAGAUACCCUGGUAGUCCACGCCGUAAACGAUGUCUACUUGGAGGUUGUGCCCUUGAGGCGUGGCUUCCGGAGCUAACGCGUUAAGUAGACCGCCUGGGGAGUACGGCCGCAAGGUUAAAACUCAAAUGAAUUGACGGGGGCCCGCACAAGCGGUGGAGCAUGUGGUUUAAUUCGAUGCAACGCGAAGAACCUUACCUGGUCUUGACAUCCACAGAAGAAUCCAGAGAUGGAUUUGUGCCUUCGGGAACUGUGAGACAGGUGCUGCAUGGCUGUCGUCAGCUCGUGUUGUGAAAUGUUGGGUUAAGUCCCGCAACGAGCGCAAC
rnacentral:rRNA from 1 species